CCCUCUGGGAGGAAGGAGCCAGGCCGGGGUCUUCGGAGCUCCGAGCCCAGGCCAUUUCACGCCCCCGCGGGCAGUGCCCCGUGUUGGCGGCGGGAGGUCCGGCUGGCACGUGUCUCUCCGCGGAGGGCCAGCACCGGUUUGGCUGGUAGUUCUAGAAGCACCCAUGUGAGCGCCGGCCACCGACAGAGCUCCCGGAAGCGGAAGCCGGAAGCCCCGCCCCCCGAAUCACACCCACCUGGGCUCUGGGUCUGACCCUCCCCUUAGAAGCGAUUCUGCCUCAAGGCGAUUCACGCAGCCUCGCAGGAGACUUUGUUUCCUUAUCUGGGAAACACAGGGAUGCAAACAGAGUCUCUCCCUCAUGGGGUUGUUGUGGGGACACCUGGGGCCUUGUGCGGCUCCACACAAGGCCUGGCAUGUGUUAGACUCUCAAACAGAAGUAGCAACUAUUACUCCUUACAGUAACUUUGAGGUUGGCAUUAAUAGGCCCAUUUGACAGGUGGAGAAACUGAGCCUGUGUGUAUUUUGGGCUUCUGUCAGCUGCAGACUGUCCAACAUUUCCUACUCUACAGCUCCUGAGACCCCAUCAGGGCCCCCUCAGGGGCCGUGGCCAGGACCAAGCUGAAUUUCCCCAGCUGUGAAGAAUGCACAGGCUGUCCCCUUUCCCCCAGGCUGCCAGGCACCUGUUAACCCCCCCAAGAACACCGUGGAUUCUCCCAUUCCCAUUUUCCCUUAGCUCAUGCGGUCACCUCUUCCCGGAGUGCCUUUCCUCUCCUCUGUUCCUUUUCAAAUGUGUCCCCUUUCUAGGCCCACGCCAGACCUCCUUCCUCCAUGGAACCUUCCCUGACCCGUCCACCCCAUAAUGAUUCUCCCAUCCUUUGGCCUUUGGGGGGAAGGAUGAGGUUGAAACGGACAUUUGUGAGCCCCUUCCGUGUGCCCACUGUCUCCUUACACAUACCAUCCCUCAUGAUCAAGGUUUGCUUUUUCCCAGAAGAGGAAACCGGCUGGGAGAGGCUCACGUGGCCAGGAAGACGUGGGGAGAGUCCUCCUGAUCCAACAUGCAGAGGGUGCCAGGGAGGUGCCUCACCUGUGAGUCCAUCCCAUCACCCCAACGACUGCGGGGACCCCUCUGGACAGGCCUGACUCACCUGUGGCUCCAAAAGCACUCCUUCCCCACUGUCGUCGCCCUAGCACCAUAUUAGUGCAUUUGUGGCAACGGAUGAGCCCACGCCGACCCAUCAUCAUCCCCCAGAGCCCGCGCUUUCCAUCAAGGUGCCCUACGGUGUGGUGCGGUCUGCGGUUUCGACAAAUGGAGACGGCUAUGGAUCUACCUUUUUGGCGUCACUCGGAGCGUGUCACUGCCCUAAAAAUCCUCUGUGCCCCACCGAUUCAUCCCUCCUGCCCUCCCUGUCUCCUCCUGGCCCCAUAGCUCCUUUCCUUUCAGUGCCGGCUGACCGUCCACAGUCUGGCUGGGCCAUGGGUUCAUCCAUUCACCUGCCGAAGAAGAUCCGCGGCGCUUCCGGGUUUUGGCAAUGGUGAAUAAAGCCGCUACAAGCUGUGUGUGUGCGCACACAAGGUUUCUG